UACGAAGGGGGCUAGCGUUGUUCGGAAUUACUGGGCGUAAAGCGCACGUAGGCGGACAUUUAAGUCAGGGGUGAAAUCCCAGAGCUCAACUCUGGAACUGCCUUUGAUACUGGGUGUCUUGAGUAUGGAAGAGGUGAGUGGAAUUCCGAGUGUAGAGGUGAAAUUCGUAGAUAUUCGCAAGAACACCAGUGGCGAAGGCGGCUCACUGGCCCGGUACUGACGCUGAGGCACGAAAGCGUGGGGAGCAAACAGG
rnacentral:rRNA from 1 species